rnacentral:lncRNA from 1 species
AGGAGGAACUGAGAACGACUCAUCUCUGACUUAGGCAGGAAGAGCAUCAAGUGGAAAUAGGAGAAGGCCUGGAUACAAUGGGUUCAGGAGAGAGUGCUGUGGAGGAGCAAAGUAAGUGAGUUCCAGUAAAGGAUCCAGGCAGAGAAUGAGGAAGCGAAGAGAAGAGAAACAGGAGGAACUCAAAAAUCCUUUCUCGAUGAAUACACAAAUGGAUGAACAAAGCUCGAAGAAACAUUGAGGAGCUUUCUGGAUCCUAGGAAUGGUUGAAUUAUCCUUUCAUACAUGAGUUACCUCCCCUUCUAGAACAU